GAGCUGAUUUGCAAAGCAGCCACUUGGUCUUCUCCAAACACGUUUAUAAAGCAUUACCAGAUUGACGUUAAAGCCAGCCAAUCAGACUCUUUUGGCAAAUCAGUCUUAUCCGCAGUCAACUCUUCUUGAUUGAUUUCUAUUGCAUGUGUGUUUUUUUCUUUAUUCCCUCCCUUGGUUAUUGCUUGGGUAUUACCCAUUGUUGUGCUGCCAUGGAUAUGGCCAGGAAAGAUGAAAAUUUAUCCAUACUUACCGUAAUUUUCCUUUCCUGGUCAUAGGCCAUGACAGCAC